rnacentral:rRNA from 1 species
AGCAGCCGCGGUAAUUCCAGCUCCAAUAGCGUAUAUUAAAGUUGUUGCAGUUAAAAAGCUCGUAGUUGAAUUUCGGGGUCAGUAGUUUGGUCGUGCCAACGGUAUGUACUGGGCUCACUGAUUCCUCCUUCCUGAUGAACUGUAAUGCCAUUAAUUUGGUGUUGCAGGGAAACUGGACUGUUACUUUGAAAAAAUUAGAGUGUUUAAAGCAAGCUAACGCUUGAAUACAUUAGCAUGGAAUAAUGAAAUAGGACGUUCGAUCCUAUUUUGUUGGUUUCUAGGAUUGACGUAAUGAUUAAUAGGGAUAGUUGGGGGCAUUAGUAUUCAAUUGUCAGAGGUGAAAUUCUUGGAUUUAUUGAAGACUAACUACUGCGAAAGCAUUUGCCAAGGAUGUUUUCAUUAAUCAAGAACGAAAGUUAGGGGAUCGAAGACGAUCAGAUACCGUCGUAGUCUUAACCAUAAACUAUGCCGACUAGGGAUCGGAUGAUGUUAAUUUUUAAUGACUCAUUCGGCGCCUUAC